UCGGAGAUCGUCUAAUGGUAGGACACUUGGUUCUGGUCCAAGUAAUCUAGGUUCGAUUCCUAGUCUCCGAG
rnacentral:tRNA from 1 species